UGGCGAACGGGUGAGUAACACGUGGGCAACCUGCCCAAAAGAGGGGGAUAACACUUGGAAACAGGUGCUAAUACCGCAUAACCAUAGUUACCGCAUGGUAACUAUGUAAAAGGUGGCUAUGCUACCGCUUUUGGAUGGGCCCGCGGCGCAUUAGCUAGUUGGUGGGGUAACGGCCCACCAAGGCGACGAUCAGUAGCCGGACUGAGAGGUUGGCCGGCCACAUUGGGACUGAGACACGGCCCAGACUCCUACGGAAGGCAGCAG
rnacentral:rRNA from 1 species